UUUAUAGGAAUUGAUAAUUAAAAAUGCUUAAAAAUUAAGCAGCACCAGAUUAUACAGUGCGUCAGUGAUGUUAUGAAACACAAGAGUAAAAAGAAGAUAGGAGAACUAGAAGAUGAUGCAAAUGAUACGAAUAAUUAUACCUAAGAAUAAAAAUAGCAUUUUAAUUCGUUCCCUAGUCAUGUAUUUUAUAUGGAUGACAUUUUUCGGUGCUAAAAGUGCAGUAGAAAAAUUUAGAAAA